GCGCCCAUAGCUCAAUUGGAUAGAGCAUCAGCCUACGGAGCUGAGGGUUACAGGUUCGACUCCUGUUGGGCGCGCCA
rnacentral:tRNA from 1 species